UGCAAGUCGAGCGAGCGGAACCAACAGAUUUACUUCGGUAAUGACGUUGGGAAAGCGUGCGGCGGAUGGGUGAGUAACACGUGGGGAACCUGCCCCUAAGUCUGGGAUACCAUUUGGAAACAGGUGCUAAUACCGGAUAAUAAAGCAGAUCGCAUGAUCAGCUUUUGAAAGGCGGCGUAAGCUGUCGCUAAGGGAUGGCCCCGCGGUGCAUUAGCUAGUUGGUAAGGUAACGGCUUACCAAGGCGACGAUGCAUAGCCGAGUUGAGAGACUGAUCGGCCACAUUGGGACUGAGACACGGCCCAAACUCCUACGGGAGGCAGCAGUAGGGAAUCUUCCACAAUGGACGCAAGUCUGAUGGAGCAACGCCGCGUGAGUGAAGAAGGUUUUCGGAUCGUAAAGCUCUGUUGUUGGUGAAGAAGGAUAGAGGUAGUAACUGGCCUUUAUUUGACGGUAAUCAACCAGAAAGUCACGGCUAACUACGUGCCAGCAGCCGCGGUAAUACGUAGGGGGCGAGCGUUAUCCGGAAUCACUGGGUGUAAAGGGUGCGUAGGCGGUAAUGCAAGUCAGAUGUGAAACCCCUUGGCUCAACCAAGGGCUUGCAUUUGAAACUGUGUUACUAGAGUGCAGGAGAGGAAAGCGGAAUUCCUAGUGUAGCGGUGAAAUGCGUAGAUAUUAGGAAGAACACCAGUGGCGAAGGCGGCUUUCUGGACUGUAACAGACGCUGAGGCACGAAAGCGUGGGUAGCGAACAGGAUUAGAUACCCUGGUAGUCCACGCCGUAAACGAUGAGUGCUAGGUGUUGGGGGUCGAUAGACCUCGGUGCUG
rnacentral:rRNA from 1 species